rnacentral:rRNA from 1 species
GGGCGUAAAGCGAGUGUAGGUGGCUCAUUAAGUCACAUGUGAAAUCCCCGGGCUUAACCUGGGAACUGCAUGUGAUACUGGUGGUGCUAGAAUAUGUGAGAGGGAAGUAGAAUUCCAGGUGUAGCGGUGAAAUGCGUAGAGAUCUGGAGGAAUACCGAUGGCGAAGGCAGCUUCCUGGCAUAAUAUUGACACUGAGAUUCGAAAGCGUGGGUAGCAAACAGGAUUAGAUACCCUGGUAGUCCACGCCGUAAACGGAUGUCUACUAGCCGUUGGGGUCCUUGAGACCUUUUAGUGGCGCAGUUAACGCGAUAAGUAGACCGACUGGGGAGUACGGCCGCAAGGUUAAAACUCAAAUGAAUUGACGGGGGCCCGCACAAGCGGUGGAGCAUGUGGUUUAAUUCGAUGCAACGCGAAGAACCUUACCUGGUCUUGACAUAGUGAGAAUCUCUCAGAGAUGAGAGAGUGCCUUCGGGAACUCACAUACAGGUGCUGCAUGGCUGUCGUCAGCUCGUGUCGUGAGAUGUUGGGUUAAGUCCCGCAACGAGCGCAACCCUUUUCCUUAUUUGCCAGCGGGUUAAGCCGGGAACUUUAAGGAUACUGCCAGUGACAAAUUGGAGGAAGGACGGGGACGACGUCAAGUCAUCAUGGCCCUUACGACCAGGGCUACACACGUGCUACAAUGGUAGGUACAGAGGGUUGCUACACAGCGAUGUGAUGCUAAUCUCAAAAAGCCUAUCGUAGUCCGGAUUGGAGUCUGCAACUCGACUCCAUGAAGUCGGAAUCGCUAGUAAUC